GACGAACGCUGGCGGCGUGCCUAAUACAUGCAAGUCGAGCGGAAGUUGGAGAGCUUGCUCUUCAACUUUAGCGGCGGACGGGUGAGUAACACGUGGGCAACCUGCCCUGCAGAUCGGGAUAACUCCGGGAAACCGGUGCUAAUACCGAAUAGUUUUCGCCACCUCCUGGUGGCGUACGGAAAGACGGUUUCGGCUGUCACUGCAGGAUGGGCCCGCGGCGCAUUAGCUAGUUGGUGGGGUAACGGCCCACCAAGGCAACGAUGCGUAGCCGACCUGCGAGGGUGAUCGGCCACACUGGGACUGAGACACGGCCCAGACUCCUACGGGAGGCAGCAGUAGGGAAUCUUCCGCAAUGGACGAAAGUCUGACGGAGCAACGCCGCGUGAGUGACGAAGGUUUUCGGAUCGUAAAACUCUGUUGUGAGGGAAGAACAAGUACCACUUAACUACUGGUACCUUGACGGUACCUCACCAGAAAGCCACGGCUAACUACGUGCCAGCCGCCGCAGUAA
rnacentral:rRNA from 1 species